rnacentral:rRNA from 1 species
GACGAACGCUGGCGGCGUGCUUAACACAUGCAAGUCGAACGGAAAGGCCCUGCUUUUGUGGGGUGCUCGAGUGGCGAACGGGUGAGUAACACGUGAGUAACCUGCCCUUGACUUUGGGAUAACUUCAGGAAACUGGGGCUAAUACCGGUUAUGAGCUCCUGCUGCAUGGUGUGGGUUGGAAAGUUUCGGCGGUUGGGGAUGGACUCGCGGCUUAUCAGCUUGUUGGUGGGGUAGUGGCUUACCAAGGCUUUGACGGGUAGCCGGCCUGAGAGGGUGACCGGCCACAUUGGGACUGAGAUUCGGCCCAGACUCCUACGGGAGGCAGCAGUGGGGAGUAUUGCACAAUGGGCGGAAGCCUGAUGCAGCAACGCCGCGUGCGGGAUGACGGCCUUCGGGUUGUAAACCGCUUUCGCCUGUGACGAAGCGUGAGUGACGGUAAUGGGUAAAGAAGCACCGGCUAACUACGUG